AUUGAACGCUGGCGGCAGGCUUAACACAUGCAAGUCGAGCGGAGAUGAGGUGCUUGCACCUUAUCUUAGCGGCGGACGGGUGAGUAAUGCUUAGGAAUCUGCCUAUUAGUGGGGGACAACAUUCCGAAAGGAGUGCUAAUACCGCAUACGUCCUACGGGAGAAAGCAGGGGAUCUUCGGACCUUGCGCUAAUAGAUGAGCCUAAGUCGGAUUAGCUAGUUGGUGGGGUAAAGGCCUACCAAGGCGACGAUCUGUAGCGGGUCUGAGAGGAUGAUCCGCCACACUGGGACUGGGACACGGCCCAGACUCCUACGGGAGGCAGCAGUGGGGAAUAUUGGACAAUGGGGGGAACCCUGAUCCAGCCAUGCCGCGUGUGUGAAGAAGGCCUUAUGGUUGUAAAGCACUUUAAGCGAGGAGGAGGCUACUGAGACUAAUACUCUUGGAUAGUGGACGUUACUCGCAGAAUAAGCACCGGCUAACUUCGUGCCAGCCGCCGCCGUAAGAC
rnacentral:rRNA from 1 species